CGCUCCCGGGAGCCGCUUCUGCAGCUGCGCCGAGACACAAACUUUCCCCGCAAAACUUUGGGACCGGACGCGUUGUGAGAGGGGAGCCUCUCCUGAACGGGAUUUCCCCGCCACGCCCCCUCCGGCACCAGGCAGGAUCUCCCCAGUCACAGUUCAUUACAGAGGCUGGCAGCUCAGAGCAGACACAGGAGAGCAAAGAUUUUUUAAGGACAAUCAUGGAUCCACUUUUAAAGUUCUGUUAAAGGAAGAAAUUAAUGACUUUGGGAGAAAGCCAAGUCUCAUUUUACAACUUAAUAAAAAAGCCCUGUGCAUUUGGCUUAUAUAAUACCUGUUCCACUGCAGGUUCUUCCAAACCAACUAUGGAUUUAAGAAUCAUUACAAGAUUAAAAAUUCAACAUGCAGGUGAAAUUAGACACUGGAUUAGGAAGCUCAUCAACUACGUAAAUAUAAUCAUCACCUUCUGAAGCCUGACAUGUAAGAAAACAGAACUACGAAAGGGUGGCGGCAGCCUGUCUGUGUCAGCAGGGUUGGUACAGUGCCAGUACCUGCAUCAGAAACCCUAUUCUUGGCAGGUUUCUGCAUGUUUCCUUUAUCUUCUGGUAGACAAGCAGCUCAAUGGUUAAAGUACCAGAGUCAUCUUCUGCAAGCGGUGAGGCAGAAGCUGGUGGCAAUGCCUCCUCAUGGUAACAGCAGUAGUCAGGACAGUGAGAGAAGAAAGGUCAUGAAUUGAAACUGAAACCUGCCAAGAAUCACAGGUCAAUUUGGUGAAAUAAAAACACAUUUACCCUGCAGAAAGACCAAUUUACGCUCUUUAAGCACAUUUUCUCUGUAGUUUUUUGGCUCAGCUUCGCAGUGACAGCCAUGGGGGAAAGUUUGGUGUGGAGGGUAGGUCACAGUUACCCACACUCACAACUGCUUCUCUGUGGACUGGUAGUGCACACUGUGUAAGCCCCGUGAAUCCCCCGUGGGGGCCUGGGACCAUCGCCCCAUGAGAGGUGGCGCAGAAACCACGUGUACCAUUGCUGUAAGCUAUUAGGAAACCCCUCUCUCUUGCUGAACUUUCCACGCUGCCCAGCUUUCCAUUUGACAGUUUUUAAAAGUUUGCACCAAAGCUAGCUCAGCCAUCUACACAUGUACACAUUGAAAGGAGUCAGAAGUUGGGAUUCUUAUAUUUAAAGAAAAAUUUAAUGUGACAACCAUGACUCAAGAAGCAGCUGUGACAAAACUGUGCUUGUUUGGCCUGAUCCUUUUCCAAGGGGGGAGGAUUAGACCUUCAGAGGAUUUUUUAAGAUUAGGUAAAUUCAUUCCGAGUGCCGUUAUCAUUUACUGCAGUGAAUUUUGGGACAGGCCUCACUGGCAUAGUUUCAGUGCUGUGUGUUGUAUAUCAAUAUAGAUAUGAUUAGACAAACCUUUGGUGAUUAAGAGGAUUUUAUCAUUAUGAAGGUGUCUUUUGCUCCGGAGCAUAAAUCAUUCAGCAAGAAGUUUCAUUUUAUUUCCUCAAGCUUUUUUAAUUUUUGGUUAAUUAGCUAGAAAUAUACCACAUACAACAUGCUCCUUUUCUCAGUUACAAGGCUAAAAUUUGCCUCUACUAAAAAUUGCUAUGGGACAUUUGAUUGUUUCUUUAAAAUAUUGCUAGCAAUUUGUUAUAAAAUUCAUUUGCUCAGUAUCAGGCAUGCUGGGGUAAUCAUCAAAGCCUUUCUAGGCAAGUUGUGUGUUUACUCAAAAAAUAUUAGGCAAUUCAAAAUGUCUGUUGUUCUUCAGCUAUUACAAAGUUUCAUUUUUAAGAAGUCUCUAAAAAACAAACCCCACUUGACUUAAGCACUUCAGUGAGUUAAUGGUGAAGUUAUUUUAUUCUAACUGGCUCCGGUCUCAAAAGAUGGCCAAAAGAAAACAGCUGCAAUCUUUUUUUCUGAAGGUUAGUGCAUUAUCUUACUCCAAUUCUAAAAUGUUCUUCAAAUGGCAGCUACUAGUCUGUCAAGUGCUGUAGGGCUGGAGAAUGCCUCAGGAUAUCCUGAAAAUUGAUUUUCUGAAAUAGUCAAUUCAUUCUGUAUUUAAAAGUUUGCUACGGGCUUCCAGUCACAGAUGUAAAUGGGAAGGUUAAGAUUAACUCCCUUUCUCUUAUUCCCUCUGCCCUAGCAUGGGGUGGGCAGUGUAUGAGGCGGUAGAUGCCCCAUCCCUGGAGACAUUCAAGGCCAGGCUGGACAGGGCUCUGAGCAACCUGAUCUAGUUGAAGAUGUCCCUGCUCAUUGCAGCAGGUUAGACUAGAUAACCUUUGAAGGUCACUUUCAACCCAAACUAUGAUUUUAUGUAUGUUCUUAUACUAUUAUAUGAUGCAUUUACAUCUUAGUUUGAUGUAUACCCAGUUUUCAGGCUCUGUGCUUGGAGGUUUUCAAGAUAAGACUGGAUAAAGCCCUGAGCAACCUGGCCUGACUCCAUGGCUUACCCAGAUGCAUGCUGGCGGUUGGACUACAGGCUUCCUAUGGUCCUAAUCUAUGUGAGAUAUCCUAUGCUGUCUUCCUGGAUAGCCCAUUGAAACAUUAGAAGGUCACACUUUCACAAAAAUGGCUCAUCUCACUCCUAAAAUGAGAAUUGAAGACUGCUACCCUAACACAGAAUCACAGACCACAAACAGAUGGACGAGGUCCUCGACUAGCAUCAGAAAGGUUUCUGUUGCAAUGCUGUGUGUAAAGCAAGGAGGAAGUUCCUGUGAAAGACUUCAUCCCUUUCAUUAGUAAAUUCCAAAAUAGGUCUGUUUUUCCAGGCCUUUUGAACAGUGUUUGUAAAAGCUUUGUAAUAUUGUAAUUUCCAGUUCACCUGGUUCUAGAGAAGGGGUUCUUGAUUCUGCCAAAUAAUGCUUGAUAUUAGAGUGCCUAGCUGGGAGACAGUUUCUUUGGUGUUUCAGUUAUCGGCGUCACAGUGUUCACACAAAAUUAAUAGUGAAUUUCUUAACUGUUUGAUUUAAAUGCUUUAAAGACAUUCAUAAAGAUCUUGAAGGAUAUGUUCUUCAUGCUUGUCUUUCAGUUUUGACUGAAGGGACAUUAGCAGAUCAUCCUUACUGUGGAAUCGGUGUUUUGCAGCUGUGACUGACUGCUGUUAGGCAUUACACAGGUGGAAAAAAAAAACAUCAAAACCCCUUUUAGAGAAGUUUUGCUAUCUCUUACAUGACCACUAAAUGUCAGAGAAGUAAAAUCUGAAUAUUGUGCUUUGGUCUGUACUCCCUGAGUGUGAGACAAACAAAAUUCUCUUACUCCCAACAGCACUCUUGAUAGUAGAAAGUUCUGCACUGAUUCAACAUCUGUUGACAAGCUGUCUAUAUAAAUUGACAGAGAAAUGAACUGAUACAUGAAACUGAGUGUAUCUCCAAAGUGACACACAAUCUGUUGAAACAAGACACCAUACCAUUAGAUGUGUAAUUCCAGUGUUGUGGUUCCUCUUCCAUCCUAAAAUUCCUGGAAUAAAAAGCAGAAGUACAGUGACAUGACAGUCUGGCAGCUGCCCUGAAGCACACAUAAAAGAGGAUUGAAUUAAAUAAAACUGUAUAGACUUCUCUUA